rnacentral:rRNA from 1 species
GACGAACGCUGGCGGCGUGCUUAACACAUGCAAGUCGAGCGGUAAGGCCCCUUCGGGGGUACACGAGCGGCGAACGGGUGAGUAACACGUGGGUGACCUGCCCUCAGCUCUGGGAUAAGCCCGGGAAACUGGGUCUAAUACCGGAUAUGACUUCAUGACGCAUGUUGUGGAGUGGAAAGCCUUGUGCGGCUGAGGAUGGGCCCGCGGCCUAUCAGCUUGUUGGUGGGGUGAUGGCCUACCAAGGCGACGACGGGUAGCCGGCCUGAGAGGGCGACCGGCCACACUGGGACUGAGAUACGGCCCAGACUCC